GCCGGGGUGGUGAAAUUGGUAGACGCGCUGGACUCAAAAUCCAGUACUCGCGAGAGUGUGAGGGUUCGAUUCCCUCCCCCGGCACUA
rnacentral:tRNA from 1 species